GAUGAAGAACGUAGCGAAAUGCGAUAAGUAGUGUGAAUUGCAGAAUUCAGUGAAUCAUCGAAUCUUUGAACGCACAUUGCGCCCUUUGGUAUUCCUUAGGGCAUGCCUGUUCGAGCGUCAUUUAAACCUUCAAGCUAAGCUUGGUGUUGGGUGACUGUCCGCUUCACUGCGGACUCGCCUCAAAAUUAUUGGCGGCCGGUACAUUGGCUUCGAGCGCAGCAGAAACGCGAACUCGGGCCCGUCGUAUUGGCUCCCAGAUGCUAUCUUCACAAUUUUGACCUCGGAUCAGGUAGGGAUACCCGCUGAACUUAAGCAUAUCAAUAAGCGGAGGA
rnacentral:misc_RNA from 1 species